UACGGAGGGUGCGAGCGUUGUCCGGAAUCACUGGGCGUAAAGAGCGUGUAGGCGGCCAGGUAGGUCAGCUGUGAAAACUCGAGGCUCAACCUCGAGACGUCGGUUGAAACCAUCUGGCUAGAGUCCGGAAGAGGAGAGUGGAAUUCCCGGUGUAGCGGUGAAAUGCGCAGAUAUCGGGAAGAACACCCGUGGCGAAGGCGGCUCUCUGGGACGGUACUGACGCUGAGACGCGAAAGCGUGGGGAGCGAACAGG
rnacentral:rRNA from 1 species